rnacentral:rRNA from 1 species
GGCGGACGAGCGAGUAACACGUUGGAACCUGCCCCGAACUCAGGGAUAAGCAUUGGAAACGAUGUCUAAUACCGGAUAGUCCCGCAAGGGUAAAGCUUUUGCGGUUCGGGAGGGGCCUGCGGCCUAUCAGCUAGUUGGUGAGGUAAUGGCUCACCAAGGCGACGACGGGUAGCCGGCCUGAGAGGGCGACCGGCCACACUGGGACUGAGACACGGCCCAGACUCC